rnacentral:tRNA from 1 species
GGGCCCAUGGUCUAGUUGGUCAUGACGUCNNUGAGUUCGAAUCUCAGUGGGCCCA